AUCCAUCUGACGGGCCCCAAACAGGACGAAACGCGCGUCCUGGAU
rfam:Schistosoma mattheei strain Denwood, Zambia genome assembly, scaffold: SMTD_contig0007099